rnacentral:rRNA from 2 species
UAGCGCCUCGUGAACUCAUCUCCGGGGGUAGAGCACUGUUUCGGCUAGGGGGCCAUCCCGGCUUACCAACCCGAUGCAAACUGCGAAUACCGGAGAAUGUUAUCACGGGAGACACACGGCGGGUGCUAACGUCCGUCGUGAAGAGGGAAACAACCCAGACCGCCAGCUAAGGUCCCAAAGUCAUGGUUAAGUGGGAAACGAUGUGGGAAGGCCCAGACAGCCAGGAUGUUGGCUUAGAAGCAGCCAUCAUUUAAAGAAAGCGUAAUAGCUCACUGGUCGAGUCGGCCUGCGCGGAAGAUGUAACGGGGCUAAACCAU